UACGUAGGGGGCGAGCGUUGUCCGGAUUUAUUGGGCGUAAAGAGCUCGUAGGCGGUUCGAUAAGUCGGACGUGAAAUCUCCACGCUCAACGUGGAGGGGCCGUUCGAUACUGUCGUGACUCGAGUCCGGUAGGGGAGUGUGGAAUUCCUGGUGUAGCGGUGAAAUGCGCAGAUAUCAGGAGGAACACCGGUGGCGAAGGCGGGUCUCUGGGCCGAUACUGACGCUGAGGAGCGAAAGCGUGGGGAGCGAACAGG
rnacentral:rRNA from 1 species